rnacentral:rRNA from 1 species
UGACGGGAGUGCGACUGACGCUGAAGCUCGAAAGUGCGGGUAUCGAACAGGAUUAGAUACCCUGGUAGUCCGCACGGUAAACGAUGGAUGCCCGCUAUUCGCUCGAAUGAGUGAGUGGCCAAGCGAAAGCAUUAAGCAUCCCACCUGGGGAGUACGCCGGCAACGGUGAAACUCAAAGGAAUUGACGGGGGCCCGCACAAGCGGAGGAACAUGUGGUUUAAUUCGAUGAUACGCGAGGAACCUUACCCGGGCUUGAAUUGCAGGAGAACGAAACAGAGAUGUUGAGGUCCUUCGGGACUCCUGUGAAGGUGCUGCAUGGUUGUCGUCAGCUCGUGCCGUGAGGUGUCGGCUUAAGUGCCAUAACGAGCGCAACCCCUGUUCUUAGUUGCCAUCAGGUAAUGCUGGGCACUCUGGGAAUACUGCCACCGCAAGGUGUGAGGAAGGUGGGGAUGACGUCAAAUCAGCACGACCCUUACGUCCGGGGCUACACACGUGUUACAAUGGCCGGUACAGAGAGUUGGUCGUGCGCAAGUACGGUCUAAUCCAUAAAACCGGUCUCAGUUCGGACUGGGGUCUGCAACCCGACCCCACGAAGCUGGAU